GACGAACGCUGGCGGCGUGCUUAACACAUGCAAGUCGAACGGCAGCACGGGGGCAACCCUGGUGGCGAGUGGCGAACGGGUGAGUAAUACAUCGGAACGUGCCCUGUAGUGGGGGAUAGCUCGGCGAAAGCCGGAUUAAUACCGCAUACGACCUACGGGUGAAAGCGGGGGAUCGCAAGACCUCGCGCUACAGGAGCGGCCGACGUCAGAUUAGGUUGUUGGUGGGGUAAAGGCCUACCAAGCCGACGAUCUGUAGCUGGUCUGAGAGGACGACCAGCCACACGUGGGACUGAGACACGGUCCAGACUCCGUAC
rnacentral:rRNA from 1 species